UGGGGAAUAUUGCACAAUGGACGGAAGUUUGAUGCAGCGACGCCGCGUGGAGGGUGUAGGCCUUCGGGUUGUGAACUCCUUUUUCUCGCGAAAAAGGCACAGUUUUGGCUGUGUUGAUGGUAGUGGGGGAAGAAGCGCCGGCUAACUACGUGCCAGCAGCCGCGGUAAUACGUAGGGCGCGAGCGUUGUCCGGAUUUAUUGGGCGUAAAGAGCUCGUAGGUGGUUCGUCGCGUCUGUCGUGAAAGCCAGCAGCUUAACUGUUGGUCUGCGGUGGGUACGGGCGGGCUUGAGUGCGGUAGGGGUGACUGGAAUUCCUGGUGUAGCGGUGGAAUGCGCAGAUAUCAGGAGGAACACCGAUGGCGGAGGCAGGUCACUGGGCCGUUACUGACACUGAGGAGCGAAAGCGUGGGGAGCGAACAGG
rnacentral:rRNA from 1 species